UGUGGCUCAGUGGUAAAGCACUUGCCUCACAAGCGUGAGGCCCUGGGUUUGAUCCUCAGCA
rnacentral:tRNA from 1 species